AUGGCCUGGUCCCAUUUCCUGCUCACCCCCUUUAUUCACUGCACAGGGCCUUGGGUCCCAUCUGCGCUGAUUCAGUCACCCUCAGUCCCUGGGGCUCUGGGCCAGAGGGUCACCAUCUCCUGCACUGGAAGCAGCUCCACUUUGGUUAUUGGUGUGAUGUACACUGGUUCCAGCAGCUCCAAGGAAUGACCCCCAAACUCCUCAUCUAUAAAAACAAUUGGUGACACCUGUGGGUCCCUGACAAUUCUCUGGCUUCAAGUCUGGCAACUCCAUUUUUGUGACCAUCACUGUGCUACAGCCUGAAGAUGAGGCUGAUUAUCACUGCCAAUUCUACAAAAACAGCCUGAGUGCUUU